ACUCCUACGGGAGGCAGCAGUGGGGAAUAUUGGACAAUGGGGGGAACCCUGAUCCAGCCAUGCCGCGUGUGUGAAGAAGGCCUUUUGGUUGUAAAGCACUUUAAGCGAGGAGGAGGCUUACCUGUUAAUACCUGGGGAUAAGUGGACGUUACUCGCAGAAUAAGCACCGGCUAACUCUGUGCCAGCAGCCGCGGUAAUACAGAGGGUGCAAGCGUUAAUCGGAUUUACUGGGCGUAAAGCGCGCGUAGGUGGCUAAUUAAGUCAAAUGUGAAAUCCCCGAGCUUAACUUGGGAAUUGCAUUCGAUACUGGUUAGCUAGAGUAUGGGAGAGGAUGGU
rnacentral:rRNA from 1 species